CCCGUAGGCGGUGACGCAAGUGUUUCGUGAAAGCCCUCGGCUCAACCGAGGAUGUGCGAGGCAUACUGCGUGACUGGAGUGCUGGAGGGGGAGGCGGAAUUCCUGGUGGAGCGGUGAAAUGCGUAGAGAUCAGGAAGAACGUCAGUGGCGAAGGCGGCCUCCUGGACAGACACUGACGCUGAUGGGCGAGAGCGUGGGGAGCGAACG
rnacentral:rRNA from 1 species